CUCCUCUCAAUCUCCACAAUCCGCCGGGUAUUGGGUUCGCCUUUUUUAUCCGCUCCAUCCUCCUCUAUCUCCGAUCCGAAGUUCCGCCCUGCUCCCAGUUUCUACGCCAUCACCUAUCCCUUCCUACUGUCGCCACUUCCCCCAUGGACUCCCCUGCUCCAUCCCGAUCACCAUGGCUGACCUGUUCAUGCUCCCCGGCUCCCUACAAGGAAAAGCUAAGCUCCCAUUAUCACUUCAUCUCUUCUCUUUUUAUUCUUUCCUAAUUACUCUGAUUACCCUAACUCCUCCUACAUGGCAGAUGUAACACUCCCCCUCCCUUAAUCGGAUCCUUGUCCUCAAGGAUCGAAAGAAGGGAAUUGACUCUUAAGAACCCUGUGAUCUUCCCAUGUAGCGUGCUCGUCGGAAAGGUUCACCCAUUUUACCAACACUUCAGUCACAACCUUAUUAUCCUUUUGCACCAUCCUCCUCUCCAGGAUCUUCUCAGGCUCCGUCCGUAUCUCAUCGUCUUCUCGUAAGGUUGGCACGUUCGGUGAAGCCGGCACAGCUGCUGGGGGACUUUUCUUUAACAGCGACACAUGAAACACUGGGUGCACCCUCGACCCCUCAGGCAGUUGCAACUUGUAUGCGACUGGACCGAUGCGCUCCACAAUUUGGAAAGGUCCGUAAUACCUCGCAGCUAACUUCAAGUUCCUUCUUAUAGCCACAGUGGUUUGUCUAUAAGGUUGUAAUUUGAGGUAUACCCAAUCUCCUAUGGCAUAUUCUUUCUCCUUCCGAUGCCUGUCGACCUGUUGUUUCAUCCUACUACGUGCCACUUGUAGCCGAUCCCUUAGUUCACGAGUUAAGCCUUCCCUUUCCUUAGCCCAGUCUCUAACUUCCGGAGAUGUGCUAGAGGUAAUUGAGGUCACCAAAUAGUUGGGGGGAGGGUAUCCGUAUAGCGCUUCGUAUGGGGUCAUACCUAUCGAGGAGUGGAAACUCGUGUUGUACCACCAUUCUGCCAAAGCUAACCAGGAAUGCCAUUUUUUUGGAUGUUGGAAGCAAAGGCAUCUUAGAUAAGUUUCCAAGCAUCUAUUCACUCGUUCCGUUUGGCCGUCAGUCUCCGGAUGAUAAGCCGAACUCAUUUGCAAUUUAGUCCCCAUGGACUGAAAAAGCUCCUUCCAAAACUGACUUGUGAAUAUUUUGUCCCUAUCUGAGACUAUCCUCUUCGGGCAUCCGUGCAAUUUACAAAUGGUAUCCAUGAAAGUUCUCGCUACUCCUGGGGCUGAAAAAGGGUGCUUUAAGGACACGAAGUGGGCGUACUUUGUAAGCCUAUCGACCACGACCAUAAUCGUAUCUUUCCCUUCUGAUUUGGGUAGGGCUUCUAUGAAAUCCAUACUUACCUCUUCCCAGACUUGGUGCGGUAUAGGUAGUGGCUGCAGUAAGCCUGCAUGUGGAGUUCCAUCCACCUUGUUCUGAGCGCAUGUUGCACACCCUUUUACCCAUUCUUCGACUUCCUUCUUUAAUCCCGGCCAGAAAAAAUGUUGUUUAAUUCUGCGGUAAGUAUUCUGGAUACCCGAAUGGCCUCCCAAUGCGGAGUUGUGCAUUUGAUCGAUAACCUUCUUCCUCAGGUGCCCUGAUCCGCCAAUGUACAGCUUACCUUUAUACCUCAGCAAUUCGCUGCUGUACGAAUAAUUCCCUUGAUUAGCUGACUGUAAGGGAAGCUCACAGAUCAGCCUUUCGCACUGUGGAUCUCCCAAAUAACUCUCUGUCACUUCCUGCACCCAGCUCGGUAUCGCCGCUGUUAUAGCUAAAGUAACGCCCUCUUCUCCAGUCACUCUUGACAAGGCAUCGGCCGCUGCAUUAUCCUUUCCCUUCCUGUACUGGAUGGUGUAAUCAAAUCCCAUUAACUUCAUCAUUCCCUUUUGUUGCAUCGGGGUCGUCACCCUCUGUUCUAAUAGAUAUUUUAGACUUUCGUGGUCCGUCCUAACCACAAAGGUCCUCAUGCUCAGAUAGUGCUUCCACUUUUGCAAGGCCAUGAGUAUAGCUAGAAACUCCUUUUCAUAUGUCGACAAUCCCAAGUGUUUUCCUCCAAUUGCCUUGCUCAGAUAAGCAAUGGGUUUCUCGUCUUGAGACAAUACUGCCCCUAUCCCUGUGUCACACGCAUCCACUUCUAAGGUAAAAGAUCGAUCAAAAUUGGGCAUCGCUAAUACCGGAGCGGUAGUCAUAGCAGUUUUCAACUCUUCGAAGGCUAAUUGGGAUUCCUCGCUCCAACAAAACUGAUCUUUUCUUAGUAAGUCGGUUAAGGGUUUACUUAUCCUUCCAUAUCCUUGAAUGAACUUUCGGUAGUAUCCUGUUAAUCCUAAAAAUCCCCUAAGCUCUUUAACCGACUUAGGUGUUGGCCAAUUGAUCAUAGCCUCAAUUUUGGUCGGAUCUGUAGCUACGCCCUCUGCUGAAAUUAUGUGGCCUAAAUAUUCCACCUGAUCUUGCCCAAAGUAACACUUGCUCCGUUUAGCAUAUAAUUGAUUUCUCCGCAACUCUUCCAAUGUGAUCCGCAAGUGUUUCACGUGAUCCUCCAGACUUUUACUAUAGACCAAUAUAUCAUCAAAGAACACCAAAAUGAACUUCCUUAGAUAGGGUUCGAACGUACAAUUCAUAAUCGCCUGGAAAGUGGCAGGUGCGUUGGUGAGGCCAAAGGGCAUAACCCGAAACUCAUAAUGCCCUUGAUGAGUUCGGAAUGCUGUCUUUGGAACAUCGGCGGGGUCCAUCCUGAUUUGAUGAUAGCCGGAUCGAAGAUCUAUUUUGGAGAAGUGUUUCGAACCUCCCAGCUCGUCUAAUAAAUCAUCGAUGAUAGGUAUGGGGAAUUUAUCCUUUAUGGUAAAUUUGUUAAGUUGACGGUAAUCAAUACACAUCCUCCAACUUCCGUCUUUUUUCUUAACCAACAAAGCCGGUGAAGCGAAUGGGCUGGUACUCCUCUGUAUUAUUGAGUUAUUCAAUAGUUCCCUUAUUUGUUUCUCAAUCUCUUCUUUUUGCUCAUAAGAAUACCUAUACGGCCUUACGUUAAUGGGAGCCGUGUUGGGUUGUAGCAGAAUUUUGUGGUCCUCGACGCGGGCUGGUGGCAUCCCCUUCGGCUCCUCGAAAACAUCCUUAUAUUGCUCCAGAACCUGCUGAAUCCAGGGGUGGACGUUUACUGUGGCCUCAGUUUUGUCGGGCACCAAUUGGUGGCUCAACAGAUAGCACUCCCCCGUACCCAUCUCCUGGUUCCAUUGGGCUGCAGUGAUCAUUUUAAACUUGGCUCCUUCCUCAAUUCCCUUCAACUCCAAUUUCUGCCCGUCCUUCACGAUGGUAACAGAAUUUAACAGGAAAUCGAAAGUCACCUUCCCGUAAGACUUAAGCCAGUCAAUGCCCAGCACAAUGCUGACCCCUUCGAUUCGAAUUACCCGCAACUCCGUUACAAACCUUUGUCCCUGCAUAGUCCAUGAGAAUUCAGGACACUUAAGUUUGCUUAACAUCUUAUGUCCAUCGGCUAUGGUUACCACCAGAGGCGAGGCUGCUUCCAUCCUCGCUCCAAUUUCCUUGGCUACCCGUAAAUCGAUGAAACUAUGCGUGCUCCCGGUGUCGAUUAGAAGGGUGAGCGUUUUGUUCUUUGCUUCGCCCCGUAUCUUAAUGGUGUCUUGAGGCUUCUCCCCAUUUAGCACAUGGACUGAAACCCCGAUUUCCUGCGCUUCUUCACUAUCAGGUAUAGCCCCUGACCCUUGCUCUUCUCCGUCUACAACUCCUCCUUCUCCCGUUUCUUCUUGCAAACAAUCCUCAUCGUAGACUUCGAUAAUUUCCUCGGAAGCCUGUAAAGUAUUUAAGGAUUUAUUGUUGCAUACAUGUCCUGGAUGAUACUUGUCUCCGCACCUGAAGCACAGUCCUGCUGCUCUCCGUUGUUCUAUUAAUUGCCUGUUGGCCGGGUUCUGAAUUACGUGAUUUCUUUGUGAAGUUUGGUACGGGUUUUUUAAAUUUUCGCCAGCCUUAUUAAGCCCAGUUCCAGUGUUGCCUCUGUAGGGCGAGGAUGAUUGGUACGGACCUCCCGAGCCUUUGGGUAAAUACUUAUUCCUUCUAUUGAGCGCGGCUAUGGCUUUCUCAUGCAACUGUGCUUGUUCAUAAGUCUCUUCCAACGUUUUUGGAUGUGCGAUGUCCAAGAAGUGAAUCAACUCCUCUUUGAGCCCGUUAAUAUAACAUGCAAUGAAGUAUUCUUCAGUCAGAUGCGGAUUGUAGUAAAGUAAUUGGUACCUUAAUUCUUCAAACCUCUCUUGAUAUUUUUCGCAAGUUCCCGUGUGUUUCAAGUUGCUGAACUCUCGGAUCAGGUACCUUUCCCCUACGUGUGCAAAUCUCCGACACACUGCUUCGGUAAAUUCGUCCCAAGAAACCAUCUGUUUAUUGAUGAAAUACCCUUGCUUCCAUGUCUUCGCUUUGCCGCUCAGAUGCAUCGUUGCUACACUUAACCAUUGAUGUUGAGGUAUUUGAUAUAGCUCGAAGUAUUGUUCGCAAUUUUCGAUCCAACUUCUGGGAUCUUCCCCAUCGAAUGACGGAAAAUCUAAGCGAGGGUAUGGUAAAUGCUGGUGAUGAUUGAAACUUCGAUGACCCCACGGAUAAGUGUGCUCUUCCUCCAUCUCAAGUGGUUUGCUUGGCGUUGGUAGAAUGCCUUUGCCCUUCUCUUCUCUGAUCAUAAAUGGUGUGCUACUACUUCCCGGCUUGAACUUGCGUUCGGAUGAGGGCCCAUCGCCUUGAGUCUUGAGUGUAGGUGGCUGGACGGAUAUAAGCUUCAGCAGCUCCUCAUGUCUCCUGGCGGCCUCCGCUUGCAGCAACUCGAACUGUUUCUGCCCUGUAUCCCUUACUUCGGCUAUCUGUUGGGUAAGUACCUCUAUAUUAACUUGUUGCUCCGUUCCCAACUUCUGGUACUUCUCUUCUAAAGAGUGAAUAUGAUCACUAAUAUCCCUUAGUCGGGUCCCUUCAGCCAUAUCUAUGUCUUCCAAAUAUUCUUUUGGAUUGAAUCGGAACUUGUUGCCUCGCUUGCCCCCAAUCUUGUCGUGCCUGUGGGAUAAUUUGAUCUGAGGAGUGUGGGGGAUUUCCUCUGAUCAAACGGUAACUUCAGAGUUAUGUGUGGUGAUUCCUUUUGUCCAAUUCUGACCGUAGUGCAGAAUCGGCAGCGCAGAAAUCUUACCCGCAGUUAAACUCAACAAUGCCUAGAUUGGAGUUAGGAAGCGAUUUCACCACACAGGGCCCUGGGGUCGGACCGCUCUGAUACCAAUUGUUACGUACCUGACUCUACGCAACCGGUCGAUGAUGAUAAUUCGCUGAGACGAGGAUGGCGUGGAGGAUGAUGGCCAAACAACUGGUAUCUCGACAACUACUCGUCCGAAUACUUGCGAUUAGGUAAAUGAUGAAAGGAAGAGAAGGGGUUAAGUGAGGAAGGAAAAGAAUGGAAGAGAGAGAGAGAGAGAAACGGAUAGUUGAAGAUUUGGAGGUGAAGAAGAAGGAGGAAGAAGAUGAUAAGAAGAGUCAAGAUUAACAAUUUCCAUAAAACCUAAUUAGGUUACAAUCUGCCUCUUUAUUCCCUAUACAAUGGACUAAAAUGCGAUUAAUAAAACUAAACAAUGCUAAAUGAGAAUUGAAUUAUGAAUCGGGCUGCUCAGCCUCCUCGUGGGUCGAAUUCGAUGGAACAUGGGCCUGCAAGGGAAACGACUUGGCCCAAUGACCUCUUGUUGCCGGAUAAGCGGGUUCCGGGUCCUUCUCCUCUCAAUCUCCACAAUCCGCCGGGUAUUGGGUUCGCCUUUUUUAUCCGCUCCAUCCUCCUCUAUCUCCGAUCCGAAGUUCCGCCCUGCUCCCAGUUUCUACGCCAUCACCUAUCCCUUCCUACUGUCGCCACUUCCCCCAUGGACUCCCCUGCUCCAUCCCGAUCACCAUGGCUGACCUGUUCAUGCUCCCCGGCUCCCUACAAGGAAAAGCUAAGCUCCCAUUAUCACUUCAUCUCUUCUCUUUUUAUUCUUUCCUAAUUACUCUGAUUACCCU
rnacentral:lncRNA from 1 species